GUUACAUUUCUGGAGAUGCCAGAUUUCUAUAUUCCUUUUAUAAGAAAAUCCAAAGGGAUUAUUCAAACAUCUUUAUUUUCUAUAAUGUGGCCAGAGGAUGGUGCCAAGAGAACAAGAAAGUGGUUUGUACGUCUCUAAUUUAGAGUACGGUGGCAUUGUCCUUGGAUACUGAUCAGCAGUCAGUUGUGUGUCCCCUACCCCUACUGUUAAAUUUUGGAUUUGGGGAAGUUAAUCUAACAUUAGAUCUGUGCCUAUAAACUCAUAGUACAUCCAGUCUUCUUCAUUAAAGAGAAGAACCACUGCAAUUCACAGCAGAGAUUCAGCACAGAGACAUGCAGUAAACUAACUUUGCACCUCCAUGUCAUCCUCUUUGGCCAGGAUCUUUGCAAUAAUAUAGUAUUGGAGGGACAUAGUGGCUCAGCCAUAUACACUAGUCUUCUACUGGUCCAUGCCUUAGCCAACUGCAUCUCUUGUUCCACCACCCAAAUUUUUCGAUCUCCUCCAUCUUACCUGGCUUCUCAGUGUGGGUAUUAACAUCUCAUCUCUCCUCUCUCCAUCUGGGCUGAACCAGACACACAGCUGUCUCCCUUCUGAAAUAGGAAACCUAAUCUAAGGAAGCUUCCCUGCUGCUUAGUCAGACACAUUUGGAAGUGUUUGAUUAGGUUUUCUGUCAUAGACUAUUGUUAGUAACAGUCAUCCAUGGUACACCUGCCUGCCGCAGCUCUGGAACCAGACUAGGUUGGUUUCUUUGUUUGUUUCACCUUUGAUACAACCUGUAUCUUCGUAGUUCUGAAUGGCUUCCUCUAUUUCCCUGAUCUGAAAGAAAUGGACAAGCUAAAGCAAAUUCCCAGCAGGCAACUAACAUGUUGCUUUUACCUGUCCGGUAUUUUCAGAUAAGUGCCGAUGAUGGAAAGGAGACGAGGAGCUCACCAUCGAGAUGCAGCCUGCCUUGGGUCAGCGGCCGUCCAUGUCCUUUGGCCUCACUAAACACGUUGACCCUUUUAUCAGACAGAGCUUCUUAGAAGUAGUGAAAUGGUUCAUGUCCGUAUCAAUGCAACUAUACGUAUUUUAAAACUGUAAGGAAGUACUCUGAAAGAGUUUACCUUUUGAUGUUCUAUCAUUCCACUGCUUAGUUACAAAUAUUACAAGGGUUACGAGAAGAGAACUGAGGCCAUGUUUAGACUUGACAUUUGACUUGACAGUUCAGUUUAAUAUCCGAUCAGAGUUCUGGAUCAUGGUAUUACGAAUGCGUCGUGUCUACACCUAUAUUUAAAUGUGUCUACCGUGUCCGGAUUCCCUUAUCCCACGCUACAUUCAAAUGCCAGUAUGCAUUCUACAAAUGGUGGAAUAGGCCAAAUAUGAUACCAACACAACAACUGAUGGCAGUAGCUAACUAGCCAGCUAACCUUCUGUAGCUAUCCAGCAAGCAACGCUAAAGGAAUUGCAAACAGGUUAACUAGCUGGCGAGCAUUUACGAG
ensembl:lncRNA